UGGGGAAUAUUGCACAAUGGAGGGAACUCUGAUGCAGCGACGCCGCGUGAGUGAUGAAGGAAUUCGUUUCGUAAAACUCUGUUCUAUGGGAAGAAAAGGACUGUACCAUAGGAGAAAGCUCCGGCUAAAUACGUGCCAGCAGCCGCGGUAAUACGUAUGGAGCGAGCGUUGUCCGGAAUUAUUGGGCGUAAAGGGUGCGCAGGCGGCUUUACAAGUUGGAUGUGAAAUAUUGUGGCUCAACCACAAACGUGCAUCCAAAACUGCAAAGCUUGAGUUAAGGAGAGGUAAGUGGAAUUCCUGGUGUAGCGGUGGAAUGCGUAGAUAUCAGGAGGAAUACCGGUGUCGAAGGCGACUUACUGGACUUAAACUGACGCUCAGGCACUAAAGCGUGGGGAGCAAACAGG
rnacentral:rRNA from 1 species